CUUAAGUAUUUUCCCCCACCUCAUUCACACACAUGCUCCCCUACACUGGUUCCCUUAAAUAGUUCCAGUAGAAAAUUUUUUUUAUCCCCUCAAGAAAAGAAAGAGAAAGUCCAACCGCUACGGCAAUACUUUUAAGCUCUACUAAAUGAUCGUAUCCUUCCUGGCUUCGAAACUUUUGUACCUAAAAAUCGAGAGAGGCGCUGCAUUUUUUCAGCUGAAACUGUCAAAACUUGGAGAAGGGGAACCUCGGAGGCAGGCAGGAGAGGAGAAUCCCGAAACUCAGUGGAGGUUGGGAAGAUGCUGUGCCUCGAGGAUUAGUUUAAACAGGGGCUAUAAAAGAUGUAACAGAUGCAAACUGUAACACAAGGGCCAUUAACCCUUUCUCUGCCGAGCACACUCAGUCCCCACGCCCCGCACCUAUUGUCUCCUGUGCUAGAAGCUUUGCAGAAAACCUGGAAAUUUUGGCCAGAAAUGGUGAGAAGAAAAAGCAUGAAGAAGCCGCGAAGUGUGGGGGAGAAAAAGGUGGAAGCGAAGAAACAGCUCCCGGAGCAAACUGUACAAAACCUCGCCAAGAGUGUCGGGAGGCAGGACCGUUAUUCCUGCGGAGCAGGAGAGAGAGGAGAGACCCUGAAACACGCGCCACCUAUCUUUGUGGGGAGGGAUAAUUGAAGCGCCCUGAGCGUGAGCAUCAUGUGAAAACGUGAUCGCCAAGUUUCUCUCUGGGAAAGGAUCUGGGAUAGAUUAUACCUUGAAGUCUCCGCAAACGCUUUAGUGGAAGAAAUGAAAUUCCACCUCCCUCCCUUCCUCUCUCCCUCCCUCUCGCCUCCCUCCCUCCCUCCCUUCUCCANCAUCACUAAAUCCUACAGAGUACAGGGCGGAAAACGGUGCACACCAUUCACAGAACUGGAGAACUCUAAGGGGCGAAAGUUAAAGGGAAAGAUCCCGGGUCCUCAAUCCGGAUCGCCUCUUCUUAUACAGAUAUUUCUAAUGACCAGAUUUGAGAUGCACAUUAAGUUGUGUGGAUUUCUCAGCACGUCUUCUGUAACUAAAUUCUUUGCCCUUUUUCUUAUUUUAUUUUAUUUUUCUUUUUAGAUGGCAGAGCCAGGGGAAAAAAAGCUGCAUGUGAACUGCAUCUUAGGGUGUGUGUGUUGGGGCGUGUGUAUGAUGAAUUUCUGGAUUGGAUCCCAAUACUAAAAAGUAGUUUGGCAUUUUAAAAAAGGGUCUCUAAGUAAAUUAACAUAGAGCGCUGGGUUGACUGAUCUCUGAAUCUCUCUACAUCUCACAGAGACCUCACUACAAAGUGAGGGAGUGUGUGUAGGAGGAAAAGGAGAAAGGCCAUAGAGGAACUUAGCAGGGAAGGAAGAGCAUGAUAUUAAACGGCAUGGGGUCUAAGUUUUGGAGUAUAUAUUUUUUUGAUAUUGCAAUUAAAGUAAAAUUAAAAAGAAAAGACUCCACCUUUGCUCUGAAGGGAUUGGUUAUGUAAAUAUGGAAGGGAUUUCCUGGAGAAUACAGCUUUCUACUGUAUGGUUAAUUAAAUAAUCACUCAAAAGCUUCCAACGUGACGCUUCUGUCGUAAUCCAAUCAGGUUACAUAGGUCCUAAACAAGAAAGAUAUUUUCCACAUCUGGAAGUCAGCAAUUUAGCAAGUACUGCACAUUAUUAACCAAUUCAGAGCCCACUUCCCAGGGGAAUUUUUUUUGAAGUUUAAGUGUUCUUAACCAAUGCUCUGCUGUUUUGCUAAUCAAAAAGCUGGUUUACACUGCACGUAAUUGGAACUAAUAUAGAAGUAAAUAAAGACAGCCAAAUUUGAGGAUGCUGAGCA
rnacentral:lncRNA from 1 species